UACGUAGGGUGCAAGCGUUUAAUCGGAAUUACUGGGCGUAAAGCGUGCGCAGGCGGUGAUGUAAGACAGAUGUGAAAUCCCCGGGCUUAACCUGGGAACUGCAUUUGUGACUGGCAAGCUAGAGUAUGGCAGAGGGGGGUAGAAUUCCACGUGUAGCAGUGAAAUGCGUAGAGAUGUGGAGGAAUACCGAUGGCGAAGGCAGCCCCCUGGGCCAAUACUGACGCUCAUGCACGAAAGGCGUGGGGAGCAAACAGGAUUAGAGUACCGAG
rnacentral:rRNA from 1 species